rnacentral:lncRNA from 1 species
AUGCAUCCUUUUCUAUCUUCCUCUCUCUUUUGUUUCUCCUUUUUCUGUUUUAGAGUACACAAAGUUCCACGGGACAUGGAAGACAGACUGCUAAUGAAAAGGAAAGGCAGAAGCCUUGCUGGGAAGCAGCAGGAGGCUUGUGGGGUCUGGCUGGAUACUUCAGCACUCAAAAGACGCAAAUUACAGAGUUUCCUAGGUAAGCCAGUGUUAAAGGUCUUGAGCCAACCCUCUUCGUAUUCCACUCCUUCAAAAGUGUCUUUUCUACACACAAAACAAACCACCAUUUCCACCUUCUUCAGACCUCAACAAGCAGGGGACGGGAAAACAAGAAGCAAAAGUUUGCUUCCUGUAGCAACAAACAGUUCUUCCGACGUGAAAUCCCCUCAUUUGCCUACUGGGGGAGAAAACCCAUUGCCAGCAUCUGUGAUUCAUCCAGUAGUUAUGGAAAAGUGUGGCCAACAGCUUGUAAAGAAACCCCAACCCUACUUGCCUGGGAAUUGUCACCCUGUCCAAGCCCAGCUGUACAACAGCUGUAUCCUGCGUUCGACUAAAGACGACCACCCUGCUGGAGAGAAGGAAUAUCCUUUCUCCUUCGACCUAGACCAGCGUUGGGAAGAGAAAAGGGUUCUUGAUUAUGCGCCCGUUUUUGAGCCACCUUUGAGAGAGAGAAAUGGGGACUGGGAAAGAGAUCCCCCUCUUUCUCUUCUCAGAGAAAGUCCAAAGAGGAAGGUAGCUUCAAGCCAACGAACUAAGUUUCAGAGAAGAUACAGGGACCCAUCCUCUGACUCAGAAAAUAUAAAUCCUCAGCUGGAGAAAGGGAUGAACCAAGGGAAGCCCCGGGAAGGUCUCAGAGAAACCCCACCUAGGCUCCUUUUACAAGCCAGUGGUCACUUUUGCAGUUCUGAGAACAGCCAAGUUGAUGUGGCCAGCUCUUUGUUCACACAGGACUCGGAGGGCUACAAAGUCAUUUCGCACUGUUUACCUGACCGAGGUAAGCUGCGUUUGCAAAAUAAGCCUCUUUGGGGUAAAAACAGCUCAGUGGUGAGCCCGUCCCAUAAGGGCCACUCGGAGGCUUGUUAUUCUACGGCAGGAGGGCCCCGCGCUUCUCCAGGCACGACCCGGUCUGUUCUUGCAGACACGAGUGAGAAGUCAUGUUACGACUUGCUAUUCACAGAGGAUUCAGAAGGCAAUAAAGUCAUUAAACACUAG